GGCACGCAGCGAGCCAGCGGCAGCAGCAGCAGCCCGGGAACCGCUUCACUCAGCGCUGAGUGCCUGGAGAACACGCUGCUCCGCCCUCUGGCAGAGAUGGGCAGGCACUGCCCUCGCUCUCUCCCCCUCGUCUCCUUUCCCCUCCCUUUUCCUCUCCGUCUCCUUCUCUCUCUUCCUCUCUUCCUCUGCUCCUUCCCUGGGCCACUGAAGCAUUUUCUCCCAGGCCCUGCCCAGCCCAGACCAGGCCUCCUUUCUGCAUGGCAGCUUCUUUGUGUCCGGCUGUAAAGGUUUGCCGACUGUGGUAGCACUGGCCAAGGGAAACAUUACUUUGUCACCUAAAAAGGAGCAGGGAGCAAAGGAAAUGUCAUGGAUUCCACCCUGGGACUGAAGAAGAAGCCAGUACUUCACAACAUAUUAUCUUCAGCAGUAGCAGCCGCGUCGGUCAGAAACUGGUCGUGUUGCAACACCUUCUGCUCCAAAGAAAGAGGAAGACCUGGAUUCAGCUUUGUGUCCCCAACAGCCUUGUCCCAAGACUUUUCCCCAUGUAGACCUAAGGAUGUGCCAGGUGCAAGCAGUGCAGAUGGUGCUGAGCACGGCUUCGCUUUAAGGCAGUGUCUGAGCUACACAAAGAGGCUGCAGCCCCACUGACAGAGCUCAAGGUUUGGUCCUCACUCUUCAAAUGGACAGGGCAUUCACUGUCCCUCCAGGAUGGACAUUUCUUCUACCUUUUCAUUUCAUUACAUGUAACUGCAAGAAUAUUUAUCUUUUCCACAUUUACGCCCUUUUUCCUCUACAGAAGCUCCUUAAUGAAAACCAAGUCAUGGUUAUUCAUCAAAAUCAAAACUUCCAUAAAACUGAUCCCUAAAAAUUCCAUUUAUUGACAGUAGUCAAUGAAGAAAUUCCUUUUCUACUAUUUAUGUUUUAAUGUUUUUAUAUUUCCAUCUGUUAUGAGAUAAAUCUAAAAAAAUCUAUAGGAAAAGUUAUUUAGAAACAUAAACUAAGGAUUUACUGAAGUGAUUUUCAUAAAUCCUCUUUUUUUAUGAAAUAUUUCAUCUCAUUAAGUAUUGCUUUUGUUGUUCCACAAGGAUAAAAGGAAUAUAAUAAUUAAGUGCCUAAGUUUGCAAAUGGAGUGUUACAGUCUUAUUUUGUCCAGAUCUGCUUUUUCCAGUGGGAAAGGUUUCUAUAUGAUUUUUUUUUUUUAUUUUCUGUUUUAAUGGCCAUACAGGCUCUUAUCAGCUGCAAAAACAAACAAGAAAAGUGCAAUGCCUAGAAACAGAAGCAGGCUGGUAAAGGUUUAAUACAAGCCCAUAAAUCUCUAAUUAUAUAAAUUAUAUUUGUUGAUAAAAACACAUUCUGUUAGUCACAGUUGAUGGAAUAAGGACUAUUAAAGUUAAAAGGAAACUCUAUUACACAGAGGUAGAGAGAAACAUCCUUUUAAGAUCCUAUAGGAAAUACUAAAUUAUUAUUAUUAUUACAAUGGGCAAAGUUGUUGCUUUAAGUGGCACUCAUGAGAUUAUGGUCUUUCCUUAAUUUAAACCCACAUGAAAAGAAUGGGUGCUGCAGAGUUGUGAGCAAAUGAGCAUGCAAAUGAGGAGGAGGAGGAGACAAUGUCAGAGGAAGAUCUGUGCGUUGGGGACUCAAAACCAGGAGAGUAAAUGUGGAGGAGCCCUGGUACAAGCCCAGUCAUCUGUAACUUGGUUUAGUCCUCUGUGAUCUCUCAUCUGAUAACCUUCAAAGCCUCUGUUUGGAUGGUGACUUGAAAGAAUCUCUUUGGAUUACAUUAGCUUUACAUUAGCUGUACUACUGUUUUUAAUAGCAAAGCAGCUACUGUAUUUACAAUAGAACCAGGCCAGUUCUGGGGCAAAUAGUUUACUCACUACAAAUCAAAUCAGAUCUCAGCUUCUCAGAUCUCUUUAAACCUUCAAAUUUGUGAUUUAAUACUAUUUUCAUGCACUAGAAAAUAAAAAUUAAAUGUACAAAAGGCCAUGCCUACAUGCUUUGGAAGAAAGUCCAAAUUUUUCAUUUCAAAAUUUUAUUAUUCUAAAAUUUGGGGAAAAAUACAGCAGGAAAAGGAAGCUGAAAUAGGUAUUUUGUUUUGGGAUGAUGUUCAUGAAAAUAAGCUAAAUUUAAAAAAAAUUCCCUGAAGAAUCAAUCAUUCAAGGCAAACAAUAUCAUACUUCUGAGUUUUUUUAUGCAGUAAGCUACAAACACAGCUCAGACUGAAGCUGCUUUGAUGAUACAAGGUUGAUGAAUAUCAAGCCAAAUUUCCAAUAUUAAUCCAAGCUGGUACACCAGCUGUAGCAAUGUUUACUACAUUAGUACAAAGCGUUCUUUUCCAAAACACACACUGUAUAUGAUCUGUGUAAUCUUCUGUGUAAACAAAUAUUAUAUAGAGGAGGUGAUAGUCCACUACGAUGCCUGAAGCCACCUUUCCUCCUCAGAACUAUUCUCGUUUGAUUCUUUGUGUUAGUUACACUCCUGUUGCUGAUUCCAGAGCAAGCUUUGAGUUGCUUCAGCAGGAGGAGGUGGAAAUGUAUGUGAAGAAGAAUUCUUUCCACUUUCUUUGAACCUUUAAAGGACUCAUUCCUGCAAGCACCACGGUUCCCAAGUGCCCUCAGGAGCUUGGGAGGUGAAGGCAGAACGUGUCAUUUCAAGUUCAGCACUGCAAAAAAGAGGUUUAGCAAAGAGUUCUUGUGUCCUUAC